rnacentral:rRNA from 1 species
UACAGAGGGUGCAAACGUUGCUCGGAAUUACUGGGCGUAAAGCGCGUGUAGGUGGCCUCGCGAGUCUGCCGUGAAAGCCUGGGGCUCAACCCCAGAAGUGCGGUGGAUACUACUUGGCUAGAGUCUUCAAGAGGAGAGCGGAAUUCCUGGUGUAGAGGUGAAAUUCGUAGAUAUCAGGAGGAACACCUGUGGCGAAGGCGGCUCUCUGGGGAAGUACUGACACUGAGACGCGAAAGCGUGGGGAGCAAACAGG